rnacentral:rRNA from 1 species
GACGUAGGGGACGAGCGUUGUCCGGAUUCAUUGGGCGUAAAGAGCGCGUAGGCGGCCGUGCAAGUCGGAUGUGAAAAUCCGGGGCUCAACCCCGGACGUGCAUCCGAUACUGCUCGGCUAGAGGUAGGUAGGGGAGAUCGGAAUUCCUGGUGUAGCGGUGAAAUGCGCAGAUAUCAGGAGGAACACCGGUGGCGAAGGCGGAUCUCUGGGCCUUACCUGACGCUCAGGCGCGAAAGCUAGGGGAGCGAACGGG